rnacentral:lncRNA from 1 species
UGAAAGGAGGGUUAUUUCUAAUCAUGCCUGUGAGACAUGUCUUUAAUUUUGCUCUCUCUCUCAGGGUGGUGCUCCCUCUCUCUCUGGUUGGUCUCUUGGUAUUCCCAUCGCUGGCUGACAGAAGUUCCUGUCCUGACCUGUUCCUGUGAGUUCCUGCCACUGAUUCUCCCUGCCUGGUACUUGGUCCGUUUCAGAGUCUGCGGUCAACAAUUAUCUGAGCUCAGCUCUAUGAUUGAAGACAAAAUGGAAAACCUCUUUCUGCGGUAACUCAAACACAAGCUAGGGGGCAACAAUAACCACAGAACAGAUGGUCAGGAUGAGACAUGUCAACACAGGGAUAUGAAGACACACUUCCACCCUUUUGUAGCAGUCCCUAAAUGAGAAAUUACACACUCUGUGAUUUGAGUGAUGAGUAACUGAAGCAGAUGGCAGAAGAAUCUGGUCAGUACAUGUAAGAUGAAAUGUUUGCAUGGAUUUAACACAGUCAGUCAUAAUAUGCAGGGGAUUGGUGAAGAAAACUUUUUAUUAUUGUUGUAUGUUGCUGUACAGUAUAGUAGCCUACACAUUUUUCUGGUUUCUAGAUUCUAGAUUUUCUAGAUUCUAUUCGACUUAACUGUGAAUAAAUGAAUCAAUCAAUUAAUCAGGCAAUGCACAGCCAUUUUUUUAGCAUGUAUGAUUCCUGAUUUGCUGCCUGCCACUUCCGUUCUUGAUUUAUUAAGGACAUUUAACACACAAUCUGAUUGGUUACUCUAUAAAAAGCAAGCAAAGGCUCUGAAUCACCUGUUAGUACAGAUGGGCUCCAGCUGCUGUGGAGUUGCAGAAUGAAAUCUGGCUGUGGAUCUCUCCAUUGGGAUGACAGCCGUGGGAUUUUUCCAUAUGGGUGGUGAUUGCAUACAUGUAUACAUAUAAAGCAAACAUUUCUUUCUGAAAACA